AAAGUAUUUAUUGGCCUUAAGUCACUCUAAGGAAAUACUAGAUGGUCAGACAUAUUUGAGGUUGCAAAUUUAUGUCUAGGAAAUCAUCAAUCAAUUAAAGCUAACUAAAUUAUAAUAAUAAGGCUUGUCUUUGAGUCCGAAGAUUAAUGAAGAAUGCAGUAUUUCCCGUGGCUGCGCAGCCCCAGGUGUAACCUACAUAUUUUGCCACAUACUGAGCAAGCAUAACCAUUAUCCGCCGGUGGUCGAUUAAGAUUUUCUUUGAGCUGCCUGCAUCUGUCCUCGGCAGCAGAUUUCUUUUUUGGUCUCAAAUGUGUAUCCUGUGUGUCCUCUGU